rnacentral:rRNA from 1 species
UGAGGAAUCUUGCGCAAUGGGGGAAACCCUGACGCAGCAACGCCGCGUGAGUGAGGAAGGUCUUCGGAUCGUAAAGCUCUGUCAGUUGGGAAGAAAUGCUUGAGGGUUAAUACCCCUUAGGCUUGACGGUACCAACAGAGGAAGCACCGGCUAACUCCGUGCCAGCAGCCGCGGUAAUACGGGGGGUGCAAGCGUUGUUCGGAAUUAUUGGGCGUAAAGAGCGUGUAGGCGGCCUGAUGUGUCAGAUGUGAAAGCCCUGGGCUUAACCCAGGAAGUGCAUUUGAAACUGUCAGGCUCGAGUAGGGGAGAGGGAAGUGGAAUUCCUGGUGUAGAGGUGAAAUUCGUAGAUAUCAGGAGGAACACCGGUGGCGAAGGCGACUUCCUGGCCCUAUACUGACGCUGAGACGCGAGAGCGUGGGUAGCAAACA